UACGAAGGGUGCAAGCGUUACUCGGAAUUACUGGGCGUAAAGCGUGCGUAGGUGGUUUGUUAAGUCUGAUGUGAAAGCCCUGGGCUCAACCUGGGAAUUGCAUUGGAUACUGGCAGGCUAGAGUGCGGUAGAGGAUGGCGGAAUUCCCGGUGUAGCAGUGAAAUGCGUAGAGAUCGGGAGGAACAUCUGUGGCGAAGGCGGUCGACUGGGCCAGUACUGACGCUGAUGCGCGACAGCGUGGGGAGCAAACAGG
rnacentral:rRNA from 1 species